rnacentral:lncRNA from 1 species
CAAAGUUAUAAAAAACAUUAUGUUGUAGUUUAGUUGUUGUUAUUGAGUUUGAGUUUGAGUUUGAGAUUGAUAUUUAUAUUGAGAUUAUGUUUUUGUGAUUCUUUGUGCAAUUCUUAUCUUGUUUUGUCUAGUUGAGUUUAUUAUAUUUAAUGUUGAUUAUUUGUUUCACUAACCCCUCUUUGAAUAUAUAAUUUAUUAAAUUGAUUUU